rnacentral:misc_RNA from 1 species
AAAGUCGUAACAAGGUUUCCGUAGGUGAACCUGCGGAAGGAUCAUUACCGAGAGCUUGGGGUCUAACCGGCCCCUCUCUUCACCCGUGUCUACAAAAACAAAUGUUGCUUUGGCGGGCCAGGGCCCCGUCCCUGGAUGGGCUUAACCUUCCCACCCGGUGCCCGCCGAAGGUACAACCAAAAUCUGUUAUCAGUGUCGUCCGAGUAUACACAUAAUAAACUAAAACUUUCAACAACGGAUCUCUUGGUUCCC